rnacentral:lncRNA from 1 species
CAUAUUGAUCAUUUUGGUGCAUUUAUUUUAAAUUUUCGAACAUUUUUGUGCACAUCUUUUAUUCAUUUUGAGUCCUUUUAUUUAUAUAUUUUUUAACACAUUCACAAGAAAAUAAAUAGGAUUAUUCAUAUUUUCAUUUCAAUUUUAUUUUGAUUAUCUAAUUAAAAAAUAUUAAAUAAAAAAUGAUUAAAAUAUUUAUUUGUUUUAUUUAUUUUUAUUUAACAAAAACGUAUAUUUAUUUUUUGUUUAUUUGAUUUUUAAACUAAUUAUAUCAAUUAAAAUGAUUAAAAAGGACAUUUUGGUGUUUGUGUGUCAAGAGAACCCUAGAAAUCCUUACUAUUUAAACUAAUGUCAUUAGCUCAUGAUGGGAAACCAACCGUUGCCUAGCGGCAGACACCACAAACUCUUCUCUCACCAGCAGCACACUCACUCUAUUCUUUCCAUUCAAAAAAAUAUUCUGAAUUGAAAAAAAAUUCUGCACUCUCUCUCAUUUUUUUCUCACUUUUCUCUAAUCUCUCUCUAAAAAAAACAUCAGCCGCCCCUAAAGAAACUAGCACCACAUUUUUGGCCGUAUUUCCGUCAUAGAAGCAAACGGAAGUUCACCGGAAAAUCAAGCUCGCUUUCAGAUCCGUUUGCUUUGGAUCUCCUGGGUAUUUUUAUUUCUUUUAUUUCUAACUUUAGAUUCUUUUGUUGGUGUGAGAUAUAAUGAUAAAUGUUUAUCUACAAAGUUUUAUCAUGAUACUGUUUCUUGUUUUAUGAUGAUGUCGUUUCCCAGUCGAUAGUGUUAGCUGGCAAUAUUGCUGCAAAUGGAGAGAGUAUUGUUGUAUUAGCCGCCAUUAACAUAUGAUGUGUAUUGUUGAAUUUUUUUUUUUUUUUUUUUUGUUAAUCUUUGGUUCUCUUUUAAUUUUUACUAUCAUUCUAGUUCAUAUUGAAAUGCUUGUUGUGUGUUAUAAAUAGUAAGUGAAAUUUAGAGUUUUUGUCUUUUAUGCAAAGUUAAUAAAUUGUAAUCAUGUAUCCGCUCAUGUCUUGUUUUCAUAAAGUGUUAUUAUAUUGUUUUUUUAAGUGCUAGUGAUGCCUAUUGGAGUUUUGGUUAGAACUUCAUUAUGGACUCUUAAGUCAUUUGCCAUGUGCACCUGCUGAAAUUUUCGGUUCAAUUUGUACUAACACUUACGUUGGAUUUUUAAAUCGUUACCAUUCUGUUUCCAUGUAAUUUCUAAAAAAUGUAAGUAUAAUUUUGUGUUGAUGUUGUCUUUUUAUUUUAUUUUAUCACAUUGUGUUGUGAUUUUGAUUCGUGGAUUCGGUAAUUUAAUACCGAUAUGUCACCCAAAUUUCUACAUUGAUUGUGUAUUUUCAACGUGUUUCGAUCCUUACAUACGACACUCCAACUCCGUUGUCGUUAUGUAUAAACCGGUUUAUGAGCACAUGGUGGCCGAUUCAAUUUAAUAUUUUAUAUUCAAUAUUGUCACUUAUUUCUUUUAAAGAUAAUUAAUUAAAGUUUGAAUUAAAUUAGAUAAUUUUGUUAACUAAUUUUAAUUAGCUUAGUCAUUUGAUUAUAUUAAUUUUUAAUCAAACAAUUUUGAUAAUUAAUUUUAAUUACCUUAAUUAGACAACUUAAUCGAAUUUUAAUCAAUUAAUUUUGUUAAUUUAAUAUUAAUCAAUUUAUUUCACUACCAUUUCAAUUUCCUUAAACUAAACCAUUUCAAUCUCAUCAAUUCAAAACACUCCAAUAUUUAAAUCAUUUUCUAAAUAAAACGUGAAGAAAAAGGUUACCUGGAU